ensembl:lncRNA
UUUCCAUUCUCUGAUCUUGCUUGAAUAAAUGAAGUAGGGGUUUUUCUAAUAUUUGUAAAACUUUCUUAUUCUGGGAUUUUGGUGAUGGAUUUGAUUAUCAAGUAAAGUUCUUUUUUAUAGUAAUGUAUUUAUGCUUUCUAUUUCCUUUUGAAUCAAUGUGUGUGUGUAUCUAUAUGUUCUUUAAUUUGUUGGCACAAAUUCAUGGUGCUAUCUUAUUAGUUAUUUUCUUAAUAUCUUUUAUGUUCUCUUUGACAACUUCAUAUAUGUAUACCCUAUCUUGAUUCUAUCCACCCCCAAUUUCCCUUUCCACUCCGCAUGGAUAACUAACCCUCAACAUAUUCUCCUCCUACGUUGGUGUCAUCCACAAUUUCUUUUCUUCUUUGUAGUCCACUGAGUCCAAUUAGUGCUGCCUACUAUUUUUGAUUGAUCUUACUAUGUUGAUCUUGUGCAGGUCUUGUGAACCACAGCUGUUCUAAGUAUAUGAGUGCAAUGGCCAUGUCAUGUCAUGUCCAUAAGACAGCAUUCUAUGGCACUCCUCCCCAUCAUCCAGCUUUUACAUUCUUUUCACCCCUUCUUCUGAGAUGGUCUCUGAGCCUUGGGGGUGGGAAAGUUGAUAUAGAUAUGCCAUUUAGUACUAAACACUGUUACUUAUUUUCAGCUCAUUAAUCAGAUGAGUCUCUGCCCACUGUAAAAAGAUGUUGCCUUGGCCAAAGUUGAGGGCAGAACAAAUCUAUUCCUAUGAAGUGGGACAUGUCUGCUCCUGGCAACACCAAUCUACUUCAAUGAAGAUGACGGGCAUCAAAGAGACUCCAUAUCGAGUUUUUUUCUUUAUGGCAAAAGCUAGCCAUGUGGGCAAAGAAAUUGCUCUUGCCUGGACUGCCUGACUGUAUGCUGUAUAAAACGGACAUGUAGAAAAGUGACUGCUGAACUUGUCAAAACAAGAUGGGACAGUCCUUUAGGAUUCCUGCUUCAUGAAAGAGCCUAUCAGACAUUCUGCAGGAUACAGAGGAAAAUGACUGACAAACUGCCAAUAUAAGAAGGAUAGUUUCAAAUUUCCGGCUUCACUGAGAAGUCUGCCAGAUAUUUUAUGCCUAUCGGCUGAAGAUGGUUUCCCUAACAUUACAGAAGGACUUUGGGUGACUGUCCAGGCAGCCAGAUAGCUCUGUCAUUUCUAGAGUUUUGGAAGGUGCUUACAAUGCACUCAUUUACUUAGGUAAUAUUGUAUCAUUCUGGGAUCUUUGAUGGUGUUGAAGACUAGAUACUUAUAACUAUAGUUUUCCUUAGUUAUGACAAAAGAUAAAUUAGAUAUAAAACUUUAAACUCACAAAGAUAGGAUAGAUGAUAGAGCAUUCUCUUUAAUUUUGUCAAAUGCAAAUAGGCUAAAUAUUAUAAGUCUUGCUUGAUACCUGUUUUGUUAUAUGUAAAUUUACUAUGUUAAAAUUAAAACCUUCCUUUUUAAUUAGACAGAAAAGGGGAGAUGAUGUUGGAUGUCCUGUAUGCUGUGGAUAUAUGUUGCUUUUAUUGGUUGAUAAAUAAAGCUGAUUUGGCUAGUGGCCAGGCAGAAUAGAGCCAGGCAGGAAAUCCAAACAAAGAUUCAGAGAGAAAGAAGGCAGAGUCAGGAAGAUGCCAUGUAGCUGCUGAAGGGGUAACAUGUAUCACCCUGAGGUGAUACAAAGAUUAGUAAAAACGGGUUAAUUUAAUUGUGAGAGCUAAUUAAUAAUAUGCCUAAGCCAUUGGCCAAACAAUUACAACUAAUAUUAAGCCUCAGAGUGAUUAUUUUAUAAGCAGCUAUGAAACUGGACAGAAUGCAUAAAAUCUUCCAUUUACAGAUGAAACUUAGGGUCUCAUUCAUGUUAAAUAAAUACUUUACCAUCAAGUGACAUCCCCAACCCCAGCAUUACUCUUUUUCUUCAGGGCCUUUGUAAGGCCCUAGAUCUUGUUCCUCGGGGAACCCUAGCAAUUCUCUCUCCACUCCUGCCUUUUUGUGUUUUAAAAAAGUUUUCACUUCUUCCAAAAAUGUCUCUUAUACAACCCUUGAGGCCUGCUUGAGUAAUUUCCAAAUAAUCAUGAUAAAGUUUUAAUGACAUCAUGCAUUUCAGAAAGGGAAUUCAGUUAAACACUGCAAAGGGCCAAGCCCAAAAUUGGAAAUUUCCAUACUGAGGUAAUAUGCCUGUUCUUGUGCUAUGAAAAGGAAAGCAUUGAGGGCCUCUGUACCAAUCUGCUCUAACCACAGGCACAGGGGAGACAUCACACGUUUCUUCAGUUUCUGCUCAUAUUAAGAAAAUCCCUGUAUUGUCAAGUGUAAUAAUAGAAACAUGGCUUAGUGUCUUAUUAAAGAGUACCUCAUUGUUAUUUUCAAUAAACUCACUGUUGGCCCAGAGUCUUUCUUUUAACUGAUUCAUCACUUUCCUUUUUUUCUUUUUCUGUGGCCUCUUAACAUGUCUUCCUUCUAUCCCAGUACUUAUGGUGCACCCAGUGUUUCCUUAUCUGCUCUUCUUUAGGACUUCUUUGUUUUUUCUUCUUUGGUUUUGCAAGACAGGGUUUCCCUGUAGCUUUGGAGGCUGUCCUGGACAUCACUCUGUAGACCAGGCUGGCCUCAAACGCACAGAGAUCUGUUUGCCUCUACCUCUAGAGUGCUGGGAUUAAAGGCGUGCACCACCAAUGCUCCUCGGCCUUCUCUUAUCUUCUUAAUCUGUGGGUUGUGACCCUAUGUGGUGUUGUAUAACUGAAUGUAGGGGUUCUCAAUAAUUAGUCAUAAUCAAACAUAAAAUGAGUCUGAGGUGGUUUUCGAAGCUCUCUCCCAUGGUACAUUGCACAGAUUCACUACAGCUUUGGUUCUGAAUAUCCAACAUAUGUACUUUGUACUUUGCAUGCUCUUAUGCCAGCCAACAUCAAAGAAUUUGUCCUGAAACACCUUGGCUCAAAUUCAAGAUUAU